GCAAAACGCGAAGAACCUUACCAGGGCUUGACAUCAAAUGACCAUCCAAGAGAUUGGAUUUCCCCUUCGGGGGCAUGAAGACAGGUGGUGCAUGGUUGUCGUCAGCUCGUGUCGUGAGAUGUUGGGUUAAGUCCCGCAACGAGCGCAACCCUCGUGUACAGUUGCCAAUAUUUAGUUAGGAACUCUGUACAGACUGCCGUGGUUAACACGGAGGAAGGUGGGGACGACGUCAAAUCAUCACGCCCCUUAUGUCCUGGGCUACACACGUGCUACAAUGGCUAUUACAAAGAGCUGCAAAACAGCAAUGUCUAGCGAAUCUCAGAAAAAUAGUCUCAGUUCAGAUUGUGGGCUGCAACUCGCCCACAUGAAGUCGGAGUUGCUAGUAAUCCCAAAUCAGAAUGUUGGGGUGAAUGCGUUCCCGGGUCUUGUACACACCG
rnacentral:rRNA from 1 species